AACACAGUAUUUAAUUGAUUACUUCAAUUCAGUUUUAUGUUGAAGAACAUAAAAAUAAAUUAACAUGAAUUAAUUAAAAAUGUUGUGUUGACUUUGAUAUUCAGCACCGCUAGCUAUUGUGAAAUUGAAAGAUUCACAUAACCUUUCACAUCAAGUGACUAGAAGAAAUAGUGUUAAGGUUUAGUUAAUAUAACUUUUGAUUCUUUAUACCGUCCCUGUCUUUGUCUCUCCAUAAUUCCUGCGGUUUUUCACAUCAACCUACUAUACAAUAUUCACAAUGCUCCUUCUAUAAAUCAAGUUUUCUAUAUGUUCUCUUAACUAGUUCUCAUUUUUAUUUUAAACGACCAAUGUUAGUGGUUACUAAUUAGUAUUGUUAGUUUUUGCUGUAGGUUUUAACUAGUUGUAAUCUUAUUGUAGUCAUUGUUAAACAUCAUCUCUAGUAGUUCGGAUUUGAACUAUGUUUGGCAAAACUGUGGGAGAUUAGUGCUUCACUAGACUCGACUCAUGUUAGUCUAUUGUAACUCGACUAAUUUAUUAUAUUAUUAUCCCACAUGUAAGCGAACUAAGUGUCACAUAAUAGGGACUAAUUUGCCUGUUUUUUUAAAUCAACCGAAUUAUUCUUGUUCGCUCGAAAGAGUCUAAUGACAAAUUUCAGAUACCGAAAAAUGAAAUUACUAUAGUAACCGAAAUGACCCCUCCCUCAUGUAUUCAUUCAUGACUCAAAAGUCUCCCAUGGAAUGCAAGGAUAGCUUGAUAUAUUUUGGAAGUUUGGAACAAAUGAAAAGCCAUUUGAUCAUUUUUCAUUUUCUUGUCUUUAAUCAAGUCUCUGUUAUUAGUCAAAUUGCCAUAUGGGUUCCUGCAUAUAUACUGUAUUUUUGUUGUCUCUUGCAGCAGUUUACAUGCUACUACUACGCCUAAAAGGAGCAUUAUUGAUGAUUUAUUAGGCGUGUAGUUAAUUCCAGUUAUACGCAGUUACCCAUUAAAGCAUUAAGCUUUGCCUGUGAAUCUGAGACUUGUGUCAGAGGGGCGACAAAGAUUCAUAUGUCACUAGUUUUCUUCCAUGUGUCAUUCUCGAAUAUAGUACUAUGUGAAGUUCACUCACUCACUCACUCACUCUGUUGUCCUUUUUCUUUUUAAGUACUGGGAGCAUUUACAAUCAUCAUUCUUAAUGUUCACAUAACUUUCAAGUUUCCAUGCCUAACUUCUGUUUGAUUCCGUGGCACCAUUUCCAUAUUUUUUCAAAAUUAUGGUCACAUUUCGGCAUUAACGUAGAAGCUACAUUUUAUAACUUCUUGAAAUCACAGCAACUUUACAUUGAUAUCUCCACAGGUGCACGUCUCGUGCAACCAAAUGUGCCACUAAAGGAUGAUGUUUUAAUCAAAAUCCACAGCUUCGCCUCCAAUUCUAGGGGUUGAUAUCUCGCAACAAAUAUUUUUUAAUAGGGAUUGACAGGAAAUGACUCAGGAAGGAAUAUUAUUUUUUAGUUUCAUUGGAUUUUGGCGUUUUCCAACAACCCCCAACUUCUAAAGGAAGCUGAUUUCAUUCACCCUCCCUUCUCAUGGAUGGAUGUGGAUUCAUUCACCUAAUUAUUUUAGACCUUUUUCUUCUUUUUUUGUUUAAAUUAAUUCUUAAAUAGGAAGUUGAAUUUAAUUAAAAAAAGUUGUAGUUAGUAAAUACCUAUUUUUUUUUUUUUUGGAAUAAAAGUUAGUGAAUUACUUUGUAUUUGGUUUGACUUUUAGGUACUUGUAAUGUUUUUUUUUUCAAGGGUUGUAUUUAGACUUUUUUUUUUAAAGCAAACUAUUAAUAAAAAAAGAGAUUACAACAGAUCCAUAUCGUUUUGGAUAUGGUAAGAAAUACAAGAGGGGUAUGAGUUAUGCCAAUCCAUAUUGGGCUCCAUUUCAGCCCAUAAAGCCAAAGUAUGUGCGACCCGAUUC